rnacentral:rRNA from 1 species
CCUACGGGUGGCAGCAGUAGGGAAUUUUUCACAAUGGGCGAAAGCCUGAUGGAGCAACGCCGCGUGCAGGAUGAAGGUCUUCGGGUUGUAAACUGCUUUUAUAAGCGAGAAAAAUGAUGGUAACUUAUGAAUAAGGAUCGGCUAACUACGUGCCAGCAGCCGAGGUCAUACGUAGGAUCCGAGCAUGAUCCGGAGUGACUGGGGGUAAAGAGUUGCGUAGGUGGCAUAAUAAGUAGUUAGUGAAAUCUGGUGGCUCAACCAUUCAGCCUAUUGGCUAAACUGUUAAGCUCGAGACCGUGAGAGGUAACUGGAAUGUCUGGUGUAGGGGUGAAAUCCGUAGAUAUU